rnacentral:rRNA from 1 species
AUUGAACGCUGGCGGCAGGCCUAACACAUGCAAGUCGAACGAGUGGCGGACGGGUGAGUAAUGUCGGGGAAACUGCCCGAUGGAGGGGGAUAACUACUGGAAACGGUAGCUAAUACCGCAUACCACCGGAUGUGCCCAGAGGGGAUAAGCUAGUAGGUGGGGUAUAGGCUCACCUAGGCGACGAUCCCGAGCUGGUCUGAGAGGAUGACCAGCCGCACUGGGACUGAGACACGGCCCAGACUCCUACGGGAGGCAGCAGUGGGGAAUUUUGGACAAUGGGGGAAACCCUGAUCCAGCCAUCCCGCGUGUGAGAUGAAGGCCUUCGGGUUGUAAAGCACUUGUGGCAGAAAAGCGGUACCUGAAGAAUAAGCACCGGCUAACUACGUGCCAGCAGCAGCGGUAAUAC